ensembl:lncRNA
AACGACAGCAGCGUAAUGUACUGUGGAGUAGAGCCAGUGACCGAGGUGACGCUGUGUCAUUAAUGUUUAACCCCAAGGUACCGGAGUCACCGGACAUAUGAAAAGUCAUGUGAGAAACUGCACUUUACACUAUACUGAACUGAAGAAAGACAACAUUCACAUCCGACAACGGGGGAGAUGGACAUGAAACAUCUAACUUGUUAAUUUAAUUUAAAACGGUUUGUUGUAUAAGGAGAUAUACAGAACAAACUACACAAGCUGUGGGAAUGGGAAGAAUUCUGGGGUCUCUGCUGACAGCAGCUCUGCUGAUUGGCUCAGCCCUCUGUAUGGGUGUGGUCAGUCUAACCCUAAGCCACACCUCUAGGGUCAGAGUUCACAAAGGGAGGAGCCUCACACUGACCUGCAUGAACACAACACAUGCAGGAGUGGUCCAGUACUGGCACACCCCUUUCGGUCGGGUCCAGAACAGCAGUCUUCAUGCCAACCAGAAGGAUGUGAUUUCUAUGGAACGAGAUGGUAGCCUGCGGAUCCACAUUGCUUCUCCUCACCACAGCGGGCUGUAUUACUGCCUCCUCCUGGCCGGAGGACAAACUACACUCACACCCUACCUGCUGACUGCCAGCAGUUCACAGGACCAUGCUGUCGAACACAGGCGGGCGGUCAGGAGUAUUCUGGGUGGUCAUGCAGAGGAGAGGAAUGUUGCCGUGGUUUCUGACGGUGUGUUUGCGGCAGCGGUGGCAGCAUCAGUAGUGGUGACGUUCCUGGUGGGGUUCAGCUCUGGAGCUUUGAGCAGGACAUUACUGGACAGGUGUGUGAAUUGGGUGCGUUCGCUAGGACAGGAACAUUGUAACCAUGGUGAAACAGUCAGCGUGGCAUUCCGGAAGGAUGUGGAACAAGAGGAUGAGUAUUACCCUGCCUCGAUGACAAGCGUUACCAUGGAGAAUGUAAGCCCAUCUCCACCAGCCAAACCUCAGAGAAGCUUCAGGGGCAAACAUCAUGAAGAGACUGCUUACCUGGAGGGCUGCUACCAGGGGAGAGGAGAGGAAGGGAGGGAGAGGGGAGGAGAAGAGGAGAGGGGAGGAGAGGAAGGGAGGGAGAGGGGAGGAGAAGAGGAGAGGGGAGGAGAGGAAGGGAGGGAGAGGGGAGGAGAGGAAGGGAGGGAGGUGGGAGGCAGCACAGAUGGAAAAGAGAAGAGCAGGAGAGUGGGGGAGGAAGAAAGGAGUGACAGUGAGGAAGGGAGAGAGGGAAAGGAGGGGAGGAAGGAAAGUGACAGGGAGGAAGAAAGAAGAGAGAGUGAGGAAGGGAGGACAGAGUGUAAGGAGACAGAGAGUGAUGGAAAGAUUGAAGAGGGAGGAUUUAGAGGUGAUAGUAGCAGUGAUUCAGAAGAAGGGUCUGUUGGGGUGAGAGAGGGGGGAGUGGAGAGGCAGGGGGAGGGAUCAGCGGGAGAAGAGAGGUGUUCUCCUCCCCGGCCCGCCAGACAGAGCCGUGUGAUUCGUCUGUACCAGUACGAUGAGGAGGGGCAUCGCUAUAGUCACCUGCCAAACCCCGUCCCCAUGGAACGUACUUCCCCUGCUCCCCAGGCCAAGCAGCGCUCGCUGUCCCUUACCAGGCUCAACACCAUCAUGGCUGCUGCCACCGCCAGCCCCAUGGACCCACAGAACCCCCUGGGCCGAGACUCAGACCCCCAGGACUCAGACCCUGAGGAGAGGGACACAGCCAGUCCAGCCAGCCCAUCCCAGGGCCAGGAGAGACCAGUCUUUCAACUGGAGAUAUGACAUACAAUAUCUAGGCCUGUAUUCAUAAAGUGUCUUAGAGUACAGCUGCUGAUAAAUGAUCCAGUCCUAACCUGUCCAUAUAAUCUUAAUCAUUAUGAUAUAAAAGGCAAAACUGGUUCAAGAUCAGCCCUCCUAAACUUGAUAGAUGCAGCCCGAGCAGAAAGAUCUGGGUCAUGUUCAGUGACAGAGACAAUGUACCAAAAUGGUUUGAAACAGAAAACAAAAAUGUGUUUCCUACUGGAUAACUUUAACAGUUAGUGCCUCGCCAUUUCACUCCAUUGUGAAACAUUUUCUCAAUCACAAAUUCUCACACACAAAUUCCCAGACACACUUAAGAUUUUGACUUGUCAUCACAUCCAGCAGAUUCCAUGAUUGUUUUGUAAAAGCAAUUGGAAAUAAAACAUUACAAGUAAAUGUUCACUUUGGAUGAUUGUGUUGCUGACCUGUUGCAGCCUCUACAACCACUGUGAUUAUUAUUAUCUGGAUGAUUGUGUUGCUGACCUGUUGCAGCCUCUACAACCA